rnacentral:rRNA from 1 species
UACCAGCACCCCGAGUGGUCGGGACGCUUAUUGGGCCUAAAGCAUCCGUAGCCGGUUCUACAAGUCUUCCGUUAAAUCCACCUGCUUAACAGAUGGGCUGCGGAGGAUACUAUGGAGCUGGGAGGCGGGAGAGGCAAGCGGUACUUAGUGGGUAGGGGUAAAAUCCGUUGAUCCAUUGAAGACCACCAGUGGCGAAGGCGGCUUGCCAGAACGCACUCGACGGUGAGGGAUGAAAGCUGGGGGAGCAAACCGG